UACGGAGGGUGCGAGCGUUGUCCGGAAUCAUUGGGCGUAAAGGGCGCGUAGGUGGCCCGGUCAGUCUUUGGUGAAAGCGCGGGGCUCAACCCUGCGUCGGCCAGGGAUACUGCCGCGGCUCGAGCACUGUAGAGGUAGGCGGAAUUCCGGGUGUAGCGGUGGAAUGCGUAGAGAUCCGGAAGAACACCGGUGGCGAAGGCGGCCUGCUGGGCAGUUUGGCUGACACUGAGGCGCGACAGCAUGGGGAGCAAACAGG
rnacentral:rRNA from 1 species